CACGCCCCCCCGGCAGCCGCCGCCACCGGCCGCCCGCAGGCCCGGGCAGGGCCGCGCUCACCGGAGGUGCUGAGCAGCAGAAAGAGGAGUCGGGCGAAGGCGCGGCGCGACCCCAUGCUGACGGGACAAGAUUAUGCCAGAACCAAUUAGCCCUUUGCAGGUGGCGGCGGAAGGGUUUGGUACCAUUUCACAUGGGAAAGCCGGAAAGAGGAAGAGAUUAACGCCCGCCAGAGAGGUCACAGAUUCACUUGGCAGGGGAGGAUGAACCACAGGGACCUUCUUGGGACCGUGCCAGCAGCUGUGAGAGUUACAUCUAUCUGUGCAUGAGCAGCCCCAAUUUGUAGGCUGGGGAUUUGCACACCGUAAUGAAGCCCCUGCUGUGCCCAGCACAGUGCGAUACCUGCAGCGCUUCAGCUGCGUGUGCUGAGGAGGGAUGGCUCCGGCCGGCUCUGCUCUGCUGGCUCUGAAGAAUGACUUCUCUGAAGGGUGUGAAAGCCGUGGCUCGCUGUGCUCGAGCAGAUGGCGGUGUUUCUGAGCUGGCGGGUUUCUGGAGGAGGUGGUGGUAGGAAACCAAACCAUUAAACGCUGCCGCAGCAAACUGCUGAGUCAAGACUGGGGCAAUCACGUGAAACGCCAAAAAAAGCCGCGGUGGUGGGGCGGUGCGGGGCGCGGAGCCCGUUGCUGCAGCCACAGGGGGCUUCCUGCAGCAGCGCGCUGGAACACGGUGUUGCGACACAGCUGGAACAACGCAACCCCAGCUGAGCGGGAAGCAGCCAAGGCACAGGCGGCGGUAGUUCGUCGCAAGCCUGUUACACAAGCACAGCUCGCGUACGUGCCGCUUGGUUUGAUCACACGCGGGUGCUUGGGGAGGUGGCAGCGGGGCAGGAGCUGGUACAGCCCGCGCUGCUUCGCUGACCCACACGGGGACAGCACCCGCGGCGCUGCAAGGUGCAGGGUUGGGGUACCCUGCUGCGCUCAGCAGCAUUUCCAGCUGCUGCUGGGUGCGACGUGUACCAGAGCACUCAGCAGCUGGGUUACCAUGUGGCAGCUGAUGAGAUUUAUGCGUUUUGUGAGUCAUGACAAACUACUUCUAGGUGUAGAUCUGUUAAAUGUGGGGGAAAAAAAUCGUUUGACUGACAGCUCAGCAUGUUCUUUGGGCUUGUAACAGCAAAGUAGAAAAAUGUCAGUUUUGUGAGUCUAUCAACAUACAUUGCUAACUUGCUGGAGAUACAUCUGUCAGCUUCAAAGCAGAAAUCGUGUUGUGAGAAUGGCUUUGCUCACGAGGCACCUCCCACUUCAACUCUUAUGAAAGAGGUGUUGGCUGUAACUUUUUUUGAGAAAUCUCAGCAGGAAAGGAAGUUCUAUCUAAAACACAGGGCUGGGAGACUGUCUUAUAUACUAAUUUUAAUAUCUGGAUAUUUUAACUGCAGGACUUCAGUGCCGUGACCUAGAAUAACAUUACAUCCCUUUUACAGAGAGCAUAUGAGAUAACAAUGUAUGUAAUUAGUCUACAGUUUCCAGCUCUGACAGAGGUAGAAAACCAGGUCUGGCAAACCCUGAGUUAAUGCCUGUUCACUGCGUUGUCCUGAGCAAAAAAACUCUUCCGGGGAAUGAUCUCACUCCAGUUUGAGGUUGCCUGUCUGCUUUUGGAGCUCGGAUUUGAAGCAGCAGUGUUGCUGUAGGCAUAACAAUGGAGAAACUGAAGGGAUACUGUUACGGAUUAAGCCCAGCUUGCUAAUAAGUGUUCUCAGACUGAAGCCAAAAUACAGCUCUGUACUAGUUACUAGGAAGAAAAUUAUCUCUAUGCCAGCUGAAACUAGGACAGAUGCGCAGGAUCGCAGCCCUUUGGUUGCAGAACCAGUUCUCCAGAGAAUGGAGCCUGACCUACCCCUGGCCACAGCCUACAAGCUUUACCUGCACAGUGACAAGAUUCCAGCUCAGCGGCUGUAAUCUGUUCCCAUCUCAUGCCUGAAAGCUGUACCUCCUCCCCAGCACACGCCUGGCACAACUCAGUCUGCACUGUGUCUUGCCCAGCUUUUAGUCAUAAGUAGCAGAGCAGCCUUGCUUUGAGCCUCAAACUAGCACCAGCUGAAGGAUUUUCUUGAUACAUUUAAGGGACUGCUUUUGGGAAAGGGAUGUUUUUGACCAUAGUAACAAAUUGUUCUCAGAUACACUUCAAGUUUCGCAGACUACACAAUGGUAAAAGGGAACAUGCAUUGUGGUAAUUCCAUAUGAGGUUUGGUCUGGGAGGGGAAGAGAGCUAACUAUUAAGUGAACGUUGUACUAAUCCAGCACUGAUGUUUCGUGCUGUAUCAUAACUACUUACCACUCCACAUGGUACAAAGAAAUCCAUUUCAUGUAAUCUUGGAUGCAGUUUACUUGCAUACUCAUCCCCCUCUGUUUGCAAAGUGAUAGUGACUAAGCUUUGCAAAGAAGCAUUACAACUCUUGAGGCCUGCGAUGGCCAGGGCAUUAUCAGAGAGUCUGAUCCUGACCCUCUGCCUGCUCUAAUUGCAUAAAGCAACUAAUGUUGUAUCUGCUGGAAAAGCAGUUACUGCAACUUCCUUCUUACUGAAAAUACCAUUAGAUGAAGCAGAACCUCUAAACUUACACUUUUUUGAAAGGGCAAAAUUUUGUAGCCAAAGCAAGUUAAGAUUGCUUCGGCACUUUAACACAGAAGUACCUAGUGACAUCCCUAUUCUCCUCCAGCUCUAAAAUAUAGGUGCUUCAAGCUGACAAACAACUGAUUAUUUUAAGGAGUUAGCUAAAGAACUAUCAUCAGCGUUGUGUGCUCUAUUCUCUGAAUACAGUUUGGCAUUAGUGGCUUAGCAUUAGCCGAUAAAGUAGCUGAAGCCUUCGGCCACAAGAGCUGACCAAGCAUAAACUUUUGGUAAAACUAAUGCUGCUAACAAAGAACUCACUGUGUGCAGCAGAUAUAAGUGGAAUGAAGAAGAUAAGGAUAAUUCCAAAAGAGUGAAGUAACUUCAGAAGGCGGCCAGCCCAGCAACAGUGAAACCCAGUGAGAAAUCAAGAGAAAUCACUGGCAAGAAUUAUGUGACUGGACUUGGGGAUGGGGCGAUUUGUGGAAUGGGUACAGUUGGGAGGCAUGAGUUGGGGUAGGGACCCCUCUCUGGAGGCACCCAGCUCCAGCUGUAACUGAAGAACUAUUAAGAGACAACUGGAAACCUUUGCUCUGACUUGGCAUUCUCAGCAGGAUCCUGCAGUCAGACCUUGUUUUGGUGCCGGCUGCAUGUAAAUGCGCAACAAUAAAAAUUUAGUAUUUACUGGA